AGAGUUUGAUCCUGGCUCAGGACGAACGCUGGCGGCGUGCUUAACACAUGCAAGUCGAACGGAAAGGCCCUUCGGGGUACUCGAGUGGCGAACGGGUGAGUAACACGUGGGUGAUCUGCCCUGCACUUUGGGAUAAGCCUGGGAAACUGGGUCUAAUACCGAAUAUGACCAUGCACUUCCUGGUGUGUGGUGGGAAGCUUUUGCGGUGUGGGAUGGGCCCGCGGCCUAUCAGCUUGUUGGUGGGGUAAUGGCCUACCAAGGCGACGACGGGUAGCCGGCCUGAGAGGGUGACCGGCCACACUGGGACUGAGAUACGGCCCAGACUCCUACGGGAGGCAGCAGUGGGGAAUAUUGCACAAUGGGCGCAAGCCUGAUGCAGCGACGCCGCGUGAGGGAUGACGGCCUUCGGGUUGUAAACCUCUUUCAGCACAGACGAAGCGCAAGUGACGGUAUGUGCAGAAGAAGGACCGGCCAACUACGUGCCAGCAGCCGCGGUAAUACGUAGGGUCCGAGCGUUGUCCGGAAUUACUGGGCGUAAAGAGCUCGUAGGUGGUUUGUCGCGUUGUUCGUGAAAACUCACAGCUUAACUGUGGGCGUGCGGGCGAUACGGGCAGACUUGAGUACUGCAGGGGAGACUGGAAUUCCUGGUGUAGCGGUGGAAUGCGCAGAUAUCAGGAGGAACACCGGUGGCGAAGGCGGGUCUCUGGGCAGUAACUGACGCUGAGGAGCGAAAGCGUGGGGAGCGAACAGGAUUAGAUACCCUGGUAGUCC
rnacentral:rRNA from 1 species